AUUGAACGCUGGCGGCAUGCCUUACACAUGCAAGUCGAACGGCAGCACGGGAGCAAUCCUGGUGGCGAGUGGCGAACGGGUGAGUAAUACAUCGGAACGUGCCCAGUAAUGGGGGAUAGCCCGGCGAAAGCCGGAUUAAUACCGCAUACGACCUACGGGUGAAAGUGGGGGAUCGCAAGACCUCACGUUAUUGGAGCGGCCGAUGGCAGAUUAGCUAGUUGGUGGGGUAAAGGCCUACCAAGGCGACGAUCUGUAGCUGGUCUGAGAGGACGACCAGCCACACGGGGACUGGGACACGGCCCAGACCCCUACGGGAGGCGGCAGUGGGGAAUUUUGGACAAUGGGGGCAAGCCUGAUCCAGCCAUGCCGCGUGCGGGAAGAAGGCCUUCGGGUUGUAACCCGCUUUUGUCAGGGAAGAAACGCGCUGAGAUAAUACCUCGGCGUAAUGACGGUACCUGAAGAAUAAGCACCGGCUAACUUCGUGCCAGCAGCCGCUGUAACAC
rnacentral:rRNA from 1 species